rnacentral:lncRNA from 1 species
CUUUGGUUAUGGAUAAUGGGCGUGGUGACUAUGUGCUAAUAGGAAUUGCGUCUUGGGGAUUAACAAGUGCUCUGCCUGGAUUGUUGGGAUUAACAAGUGCUCUGCCUGGAUUGCCGGGAGUCUACGUGAAUGUGGCUAAUUAUGCUGAUUGGAUAUCCGACAUCAUUGGUGGUGCUGAAACUUGCGUUGCUCAUUAGAAACCCUAGUUGGCAACUGACCCCCUAAUCCUCGCCCCCUUUCUUCUGAUUCAUCAGGGUUUUAUAUGCAUAAUUAGCUGAUAAUUCUAUUUGCUGUAUUGUUUCCUUGAUUUAUGACAGUUAACUAGAUAAAUCAUAUAUGCGAGUUUCCUAAA